rnacentral:rRNA from 1 species
GUGAGUAAUGCAUAGAUAAUGUGCCCCUUAGUUCGGGAUAGCCACUGGAAACGGUGAUUAAUACCGGAUACUCCUUCUUGUUAUAAGACAAGUCGGGAAAGUUUUUCGCUAAGGGAUCAGUCUAUGUUCCAUCAGCUUGUUGGUGAGGUAAUGGCUCACCAAGGCUAUGACGGAUAUCUGGUUUGAGAGGAUGAUCAGACACACUGGAACUGAGACACGGUCCAGACUCCUACGGGAGGCAGCAGUGAGGAAUAUUGCACAAUGGAGGAAACUCUGAUGCAGCAACGCCGCGUGGAGGAUGACGCAUUUCGGUGUGUAAACUCCUUUUAUUAGGGAAGAUAAUGACGGUACCUAAUGAAUAAGCACCGGCUAACUCCGUGCCAGCAGCCGCGGUAAUACGGAGGGUGCAAGCGUUACUCGGAAUCACUGGGCGUAAAGGGUGCGUAGGCUGGCUUUUAAGUCAGAUGUGAAAUCCAAUGGCUCAACCAUUGAACUGCAUUUGAAACUGAAAGCCUAGAGUUCAGAAGGGGCAGAUGGAAUUAGUGGUGUAGGGGUAAAAUCCGUAGAUAUCACUAGGAAUAUCAAAAGCGAAGGCGAUCUGCUGGGAUG